rnacentral:rRNA from 1 species
GAUGAACGCUGGCGGCGUGCCUAAUACAUGCAAGUCGAGCGAACAGACGAGGAGCUUACUCCUCUGACGUUAGCGGCGGACGGGUGAGUAACACGUGGAUAACCUACCUAUAAGACUGGGAUAACUUCGGGAAAACGGAGCUAAUACCGGAUAACAUGUUGAACCGCAUGGUUCAACAGUGCAAGACGGUCUUGCCGUCACUUAUAGCUGGAUCCGCGUCGCAUUAGCUAGUUGGUAAGGUAACGGCUUACCAAGGCGACGAUGCGUAGCCGACCUGAGAGGGUGAUCGGCCACACUGGAACUGAGACACGGUCCAGACUCCUACGGGAGGCAGCAGUAGGGAAUCUUCCGCAAUGGGCGAAAGCCUGACGGAGCAACGCCGCGUGAGUGAAGAAGGUCUUCGGAUCGUAAAACUCUGUUAUUAGGGAAGAACAAAUGUGUAAGUAACUAUGCACGUCUUGACGGUACCUAAUCAGAAAGCCACGGCUAACUACGUG